rnacentral:lncRNA from 1 species
GAGGGGGUGAAUCAAAAUAACACAAAACAUAACAACAUCAUGAAGAGGAGUAGUUUUUAAACAUCAGGUUUAUUCCUAAACUAUACAUUAUUCUUCUAUUGUUCUACACAAAUCACAUUCCUUUGCACAAAUAGAUUUUGUCGCUAAAGUAGCAUAAAGAUUUAAGCAUAUAAAAUAAUACAUUCUUAUAGAGAUCUAAAUUAAAUAUACAUUAAUAAUAUAAUUCAACGUAUGGUUAUAUCUGCACAAUAAAAUUUGUCUUACAUUAUACAGGAUUUCUACAAUGGAUAAACAGAUUAUAGAUCAACGUCAUCGAACUUCCUUGAAUAAUUGUCAAGGUAAAUUAUUGAUGCUAAAUUAAAUAAUUUUAUUUCUUUACUAUUCUUAGCUAUAUUAAAACUACAAUUCGUCUUUUUUUACAGAUGUAAAACAACCGGAAACUUCCAUGGAUGAGAUGUAUACAAGAAUCACACAAAUGCGGAUAGAAUAUUUGAAGUAUGAACAAGUACAACUUAGACACGAAUUAUAUAAAGGAGUAUUACCAAAUAAAUCAUGCAAAGAAUGACUAUCUGUAUAUUCGAAUAUUAUGUUAUUGCAUUUACAAAAUUUAAGCU